rnacentral:rRNA from 1 species
AUUGAACGCUGGCGGCAUGCCUUACACAUGCAAGUCGAACGGCAGCGCGGUCUUCGGUCUGGCGGCGAGUGUCGAACGGGGGAGUAAUACAUCGGAACGUACCCUGUUUUGGGGUGUAACUAGUCGAAAGAUUAGCUAAUACCGCAUACGACCUGCUGGUGAAAGAGGGGGACCGGAAACGGCCUCAGGCAGCAGGGGCUGCAGAUGUGUGAUUAGCUAGUUGGUGGGGUAAAGGCCCACCAAGGCGACGAUCAGUAGCUGGUCUGAGAGGACGAUCAGCCACACUGGGACUGAGACACGGCCAAGACUCCUACGGGAGGCAGCAGUGGGGAAUGGUGGACAAUGGGGGCAACCCUGAUACAGCAAUGCCGCGUGUGUGACGAAGGCCUUCGGGUUGUAAAGCACUUUUGUGCGGAAAGAACCGGCGCUGGUUAAUACCUAGCGUGGAUGACGGUACCGGAAGAAUAAGCACCGGCUAACUACGUG